CUGGAGCUUGCUGGUAACGCAGCGAGAGACAACAAGAAGACGAGGAUCAUACCGAGGCAUCUUCUUCUUGCGAUAAGGAACGAUGAAGAACUGGGAAGGCUUCUGAGUGGAGUUACGAUUGCUCACGGUGGUGUUUUGCCUAACAUUCACUCCGUUCUUCUCCCUAAGAAGACGGCUUCUACUAAAUCAACUGAGGAAAAGGUCUCCAAAUCACCAGUCAAGUCUCCCAAGAAAGCUUAAAAUCUUUGCGAACGAGAUCUUAUGUUUGUGUUGGGCUUUGGUGGAUGUAGUUAAAUUCAAGCUUUUUAAUCUUAGUUUUUAUGUAUUUUGUUGUUAGAUGUUUGUUCAAAAUCCAUUUCCUGAUUAUAAGAUCCUAUCUGCUUUGUCCUUAAUCACUCUGGCCCAAUUAGCGAAAUAAUACUUUUAUUCACAGAGAUAAUUCUCAAUGUGGUCAAGAAUGUAUAAACUGUUCUCCUCUCUCUUUGUUCGUUGUAAUUCCAGAACAUUGCUUUGCAGUAGCGUCCAUAGUGAUCAAUAACACUUGUUCUACCCGAGAAACAAUAAAAUGUGCACUCAAUGUGUUUGUGCAAAUGCGUGAAGAAACAACGAGUUGCAGGGCUAUCUUAUGAUACCAAUGAGCCUGUGUUGAAGAGUGAGUUUGGUGAAGUUAUGAAUCGCCAAUUGAAAUCUGUUAGUCUUGUACAAAAUUCCUAUACGGAUAAACAAAUGUAAAUAGAAUUUAACAGUAAGAGUAAUAUGUGAUCACUAGAGCGGGGAAUUAAAAGGUAAUGGCUUUGUAUUGUUCCAUUCGGAAAAGAGGCUGCAACUACAAGUGCCUUAGCCUUAGCUUCCAUGAACAAUCAUGUAUACAUUCACAGUAAGCCACGUGUGUAAUGGCAUACAAGCAAUGAUUCUUCCUUGAUAAAUUCAAGGGACGAUGGAUGAUAUCAACUAAAUCAGCUAAUGUUUUUCGAAACUAAACUACAAACUACAAAGCAUAUGUUUUCUAAACUAAACGACAAGGCAUACCACGUUAAUGUUUCCGAUAACAUAGUAGGAUAGAACACAACAUGUCUCUACACAAACUCGAUGUAUAUGAGUAUAUCUUUAAAGAUGUCCAAAGUUUUUAGGUGUUUUGGACCUUUUGUUAUUGGAAUAUCACUAACUCUUUGAGAAAGUCUAAAACGGUUGUUAGAGUGCCCGAUCUUUGUCUUUCUUUUACUAGCUAGGCAGAAGCAUUUCUCUUAGUUCUUGAUCGUAUUUCCCUAUUUCUCGAUCGACUAGAAAGCUUUUGUUGAACCAUUGUUUCAAUAGCAUUUAGGCUGACGUAUUUUUAGGUCAGAUCGAAUGAACUAAAAACCUUACUUCCUUUGAGAUUUGAUGAUUCUUGAUAACACCCUUAACACUAGAGGCCUUUAUGCCGGCACUCAAAAGGCUCACAUCUACAUCUGCAAAAUGACAUUCCUCGUUAUGGACCUCUCGUGAUAAUUACUUAAUCUUCCUUUAGGACUAAUUAUUAUUCCGACAGAAUAAGAUAUGUCUCCUUUUCGAAUUCAACAUUCUUUUAUCGUUGACUGGUUCAAUAAUUUAUGUUCUCAGCUAAGUUUUGUAUCGACUCUUAGAUAAACAAACAAACAGAGAUAGCCAAAAAUAUACUCUGACUAGAAAACAAUUCAUACUAUGUAUUGAUGAUCAUAUGUUAUAAUGAAAAACAAACAUGUAGGUUAAAUCCAGCGUUUAAACCUUUUUAGGUUUACGUGUUUGGUUUCCAAACUUGUUUUAUAUCCUACAAUUUCUCUAAGUAACAGUUAAAUGUUUUAAUAAUCUUAUCUAUUCAAUGUUAGUAUUUUUAAUCAACUCAAUUAUGACUUUGUACAUUACAAUAUCUUUAUACAAUAACUAGAUUAGCAUAAAUUAAACACUCCAUAAUUCCUGAAGUCGUUACUUAUUUGCGAAUUAGGUUUUCUUUUCAAAAUAUUUUCCAGAAACAAAGUUAAUAAAGUCUUCCAUGAUUCGGAAGUUGUUACAGGCCUUUGAAUUUACUGCUAAAACGUGUCCAUUUUAGAUUAGAUUUCUCAUAUGCUAUUUUAUGACCUCACAAUAUCGUUCAUUCAAUUAAAAAGAUGAACUAUCAUGUUGUUGCACAAUAAAGAAUAUAUGAUUAACAAUGUAAAACCUAGUGUUCUAUAAUCUUACACAUCAACCAAUCAAUAUAAUCAUGAUUUUUUACCAUAAAAUUAAAAUGUAUCUGAUCUACCAUUAAUUUACAAAACAAUAGCGCAAAUUUUGUAAAUUAAUUCACCAAAAAACUUAAAAAUACAGACAAAAAACUGGCGCGUUUUCAAAAACCACAAAACGCUUCUCAUUGGCUAAUACAUAGAGACGGGGAUCGUGUUACGUUUAACAUCCGCCGUCGAUAGCGGUAAAUCCAACGGACAAAACAACCUCUCUUAUUUUUCCCUCUCACCUAUAAAACAACCAUACAGAGUACCUUAAGCUUUAAAUCACAAAUCUCCAAACACUAAAGUAGAUUCAGUAAUCAGUAAGUGUAAGUAACAAUGGAAGCCACCGGAAAAGUGAAGAAAGCUUUCGGAGGAAGAAAAGCCGGCGGUCCAAAGGCCAAAUCAGUUUCGAAAUCGAUCAAAGCCGGUCUCCAGUUCCCGGUGGGAAGAAUCACCCGUUUCCUGAAGAAAGGUCGUUACGCUCAGAGGCUCGGUGGUGGUGCUCCUGUUUACAUGGCCGCCGUUCUCGAAUACCUCGCCGCCGAAGUAAGUUAACUCAGAUCUAGCAAUUUUGAACAGUUAAUUCUUUUUCGGAGGAUUCAUUUUUUCUGAUUCUCAAUUUCGAUUUAUUUUUUUCCAGGUUCUGGAGCUUGCUGGUAACGCAGCGAGAGAUAACAAGAAGACGAGGAUCAUACCGAGGCAUCUUCUUCUUGCGAUAAGGAAUGAUGAAGAACUUGGAAGGCUUCUGAGUGGAGUCACCAUUGCUCACGGUGGUGUUUUGCCUAACAUUCACUCCGUUCUUCUACCUAAGAAGACGGCUUCUACUAAAUCAACUGAGGAAAAGGUCUCCAAAUCACCAGUCAAGUCUCCCAAGAAAGCUUAAUGCAUUCACGAAAACGUGAUCU
rnacentral:lncRNA from 1 species